UACGUAGGGCGCAAGCGUUGUCCGGAAUUAUUGGGCGUAAAGAGCUCGUAGGCGGCUUGUCGCGUCGAUUGUGAAAGCCCGGGGCUUAACUCCGGGCCUGCAGUCGAUACGGGCAGGCUAGAGUGUGGUAGGGGAGAUCGGAAUUCCUGGUGUAGCGGUGAAAUGCGCAGAUAUCAGGAGGAACACCGGUGGCGAAGGCGGAUCUCUGGGCCAUUACUGACGCUGAGGAGCGAAAGCGUGGGGAGCGAACAGG
rnacentral:rRNA from 1 species